CAUGCCCAGGCUCAACCCAGGCCCAAGGAACUUGACCUGAAGCAGGAGGUGUGCUCCCUGGCUUGUUUGUGGAUCAAGAUGUAAACUUUCAGAAGUUCUGGUCACCAUGUCUUCACUCAGCCAUCAUGGACUCUAACCCUCUGAAAUCAUAAGCCUGGUGCUUUGGUCCCAUCAGUCGAGAAGAAUGCCUGAUUAAUGAUCUCCACACUGCCUCAUCUUCCUUUUGUAAUCAAUAGUUACAAAGGUGAUUGGGGUGCAUAUGUUUUGUUUUUACCUAUGUUCUUGAUCAUUAAUAAAUAAUUGUGCUUACA